AGCAUCCAUUUUAGGAGAGACAUGCAAUGCCAGGCAUGAGGAGAAGAAAGAGUGCCAGAAAAUCAUCCGGCUGAGGAGUCUGAAUGCCAGCACUGAUAUUUCCGCCCUGGCCAGGAAGGUGGUGGAAGAGUGUAAAGUAAUUCAUCCAUCAAAGCUGGCGGAGGUGGAACAUCUGCUGCUGUAUUUACAGAACCGAAAGAAGCCCAGCAGUAAAUCGGAGAAGAAGGAAAAGAAACCAUCGAAACCCAGAGAACUUCUGCCAUUUGAAGGAAUGGAAGUACACACAUUUUAAGUUACACAUUUUAUGGGUACUUAGAGCUGAGAAAGUGAAUGUGUUAACACAUGUGAUUAAUUAAACAUGUUGAAUUGUGCUAAUUUUUCAUAUGUUUAACGCCUAUAUCUAAUUUGACAUGAUAAUGGAUUCAUUCUGUUGUGUCUGAUUUUUACCAACUAUGAAAAGUCCAUUUUAAAUUUUACUCAAAAUGCGAUAUCCGCCGAGUUAUU